rnacentral:rRNA from 1 species
UGGGGAAUUUUGGACAAUGGGCGAAAGCCUGAUCCAGCAAUGCCGCGUGUGUGAAGAAGGCCUUCGGGUUGUAAAGCACUUUUGUCCGGAAAGAAAUCCUUGGCUCUAAUACAGUCGGGGGAUGACGGUACCGGAAGAAUAAGCACCGGCUAACUACGUGCCAGCAGCCGCGGUAAUACGUAGGGUGCAAGCGUUAAUCGGAAUUACUGGGCGUAAAGCGUGCGCAGGCGGUUUGCUAAGACCGAUGUGAAAUCCCCGGGCUCAACCUGGGAACUGCAUUGGUGACUGGCAGGCUAGAGUAUGGCAGAGGGGGGUAGAAUUCCACGUGUAGCAGUGAAAUGCGUAGAGAUGUGGAGGAAUACCGAUGGCGAAGGCAGCCCCCUGGGCCAAUACUGACGCUCAUGCACGAAAGCGUGGGGAGCAAACAGGAUUAGAUACCCUGGUAGUCCACGCCCUAAAACGAUGUCAACUAGUUGUUGGGGAUUUUAUUUCCUUAGUAACGUAGCUAACGCGUGAAGUUGACCGCCUGGGGAGUACGGUCGCAAGAUUAAAACUCAAAGGAAUUGACGGGGUCAUAGCUGUUUCCU